rnacentral:rRNA from 1 species
AGAAUCUUUCGCAAUGCCCGAAAGGGUGACGAAGCGACGCCGCGUGUGGGAAGAAGGCCUUCGGGUUGUAAACCACUGUCGGGAGUUAGGAAAUGUAAGGGUGUUAAUAGUAUCCUUACUUGACUAAGGCUCCGGAGGAAGCCACGGCUAACUCUGUGCCAGCAGCCGCGGUAAUACAGAGGCGGCAAGCGUUGUUCGGAAUUAUUGGGCGUAAAGAGCACGUAGGCGGCCUUGUAAGUCAGUUGUGAAAGCCUUCUGCUUAACGGAAGAACAGCAGCUGAUACUGCAAGGCUAGAGUGCGGAAGGGGAGAGUGGAACUUCUGGUGGAGCGGUGAAAUGCGUAGAUAUCAGAAGGAACACCGGCGGCGAAGGCGACUCUCUGGUCCGUAACUGACGCUGAGUGUGCGAAAGCUAGGGGAGCAAACGGGAUUAGAUACCCCGGUAGUCCUAGCCGUAAACGAUGGGCACUAAGUAGAGGGGUUUUGAUUAUCUCUCUGCCGGAGCUAACGCAUUAAGUGCCCCGCCUGGGGAGUACGGCCGCAAGGCUAAAACUCAAAAGAAUUGACGGGGGCUCGCACAAGCGGUGGAGCAUGUGGCUUAAUUCGAUGCAACGCGAAGAACCUUACCGGGGUUUGACAUGGUAGAAGUAGGAACCUGAAAGGGUGACGAACGGUAUCCAGUCCGUAACUAUCACAGGUGUUGCAUGGCUG